rnacentral:siRNA from 1 species
UUAGUAUCAGGUGAUGUGGCA